rnacentral:lncRNA from 1 species
UCUUUUAUCCCACAAACACUGACCCUUGAUCCGUGGUAAUGGUCUCUGGAUGCCAAAACUAUAUACAAUAUGUUUUUGGAUGAAUUUAAUCACCGCAUCUUUAUCCACCUUCACCGGAGGGACAACUUCGAUCCACUUGGUGAAGUAAUCUAUCCCUACUAAGAUAAACUUAUGCUGCUUCGACGAGGCUGGUCGAAUUUAUCCAAUGACGUCUAAUGCCCACCCCCUAAAGGGCCAUGGUUUGAUGAUUGCAUGCAAC